rnacentral:rRNA from 1 species
UACGGAGGGUGCAAGCGUUGUCCGGAAUCACUGGGCGUAAAGGGCGCGUAGGCGGCUCAUGAAGGCUGUGGUGAAAGUCCGGGGCUCAACCUCGGAUCGGCCGUGGCGACUCGUGGGCUGGAGCACUGUAGAGGCGGGUGGAAUUCCGGGUGUAGCGGUGGAAUGCGUAGAUAUCGGGAGGAACACCUGUGGCGAAAGCGGCUCACUGGACCACAACUGACGCUGAGGCGCGAAAGCUAGGGGAGCAAACAGG